CAUGCAAGUCGAACGGUGAAGCAGAGCUUGCUCUGUGGAUCAGUGGCGAACGGGUGAGUAACACGUGAGCAAUCUGCCCCUGACUCUGGGAUAAGCGCUGGAAACGGCGUCUAAUACCGGAUACGAGCUGCGACCGCAUGGUCAGUAGCUGGAAAGAAUUUCGGUCAGGGAUGAGCUCGCGGCCUAUCAGCUUGUUGGUGAGGUAAUGGCUCACCAAGGCGUCGACGGGUAGCCGGCCUGAGAGGGUGACCGGCCACACUGGGACUGAGACACGGCCCAGACUCCUACGGGAGGCAGCAGUGGGGAAUAUUGCACAAUGGGCGAAAGCCUGAUGCAGCAACGCCGCGUGAGGGAUGACGGCCUUCGGGUUGUAAACCUCUUUUAGCAGGGAAGAAGCGAAAGUGACGGUACCUGCAGAAAAAGCGCCGGCUAACUACGUGCCAGCAGCCGCGGUAAUACGUAGGGCGCAAGCGUUAUCCGGAAUUAUUGGGCGUAAAGAGCUCGUAGGCGGUCUGUCGCGUCUGCUGUGAAAACCCGAGGCUCAACCUCGGGCCUGCAGUGGGUACGGGCAGACUAGAGUGCGGUAGGGGAGAUUGGAAUUCCUGGUGUAGCGGUGGAAUGCGCAGAUAUCAGGAGGAACACCGAUGGCGAAGGCAGAUCUCUGGGCCGUAACUGACGCUGAGGAGCGAAAGGGUGGGGAGCAAACAGGCUUAGAUACCCUGGUAGUCCACCCCGUAAACGUUGGGAACUAGUUGUGGGGUCCAUUCCACGGAUUCCGUGACGCAGCUAACGCAUUAAGUUCCCCGCCUGGGGAGUACGGCCGCAAGGCUAAAACUCAAAGGAAUUGACGGGGACCCGCACAAGCGGCGGAGCAUGCGGAUUAAUUCGAUGCAACGCGAAGAACCUUACCAAGGCUUGACAUAUAGAGGAAACGUCUGGAAACAGUCGCCCCGCAAGGUCUCUAUACAGGUGGUGCAUGGUUGUCGUCAGCUCGUGUCGUGAGAUGUUGGGUUAAGUCCCGCAACGAGCGCAACCCUCGUUCUAUGUUGCCAGCACGUAAUGGUGGGAACUCAUGGGAUACUGCCGGGGUCAACUCGGAGGAAGGUGGGGAUGACGUCAAAUCAUCAUGCCCCUUAUGUCUUGGGCUUCACGCAUGCUACAAUGGCCGGUACAAAGGGCUGCAAUACCGUGAGGUGGAGCGAAUCCCAAAAAGCCGGUCCCAGUUCGGAUUGAGGUCUGCAACUCGACCUCAUGAAGUCGGAGUCGCUAGUAAUCGCAGAUCAGCAACGCUGCGGUGAAUACGUUCCCGGGUCUUGUACACACCGCCCGUCAAGUCAUGAAAGUCGGUAACACCUGAAGCCGGUGGCCCAACCCUUGUGGA
rnacentral:rRNA from 1 species